GAUGAACGCUGGCGGCGUGCCUAAUACAUGCAAGUCGAACGGAAAGGCGUGCUUUUCCUUGCUGUGUGCGGAUACUCGAGUGGCGAAGGGGCGAGUAAAUAGCGAAUGAUUAGCACUCAACUUGGGUAGAAGACUGGGAAAUUGUGUCUGAUAAUCGAUAGAACCGCAUGGUGGAGGCGUGAGUGGCAGAUGUUCUUUCACUGGUUGAGGAUGAGCUGGCGGCUUAUCUGCUUGUUGUGGGGGUGAUGUACUACGAAGGCGGUGACGAGUAGCCCGCCUGGGAGGGGCGACGGCCGCAGUGGGACUGAGAUACGGCCCAGACGCCAACGAGAGGCAGCAGUGGUGAAGAUUGCACAGUGGGCGGAAGCCUGAAGCAGCGACGCCGUGUGGAGGAUGACGGCCUUCGGGUUGUAAGCUCCUUUCGACCGCGAGGAAGCCACCUGGUUGGAAGGGUGUUGACGGUAGUGGUAGAAGAAGCACCGGCUAACUACGUG
rnacentral:rRNA from 1 species